rnacentral:rRNA from 1 species
GAGUUUGACCAUGGCUCAGAUUGAACGCUGGCGGCAUGCCUUACGCAUGCAAGUCGAACGGCAGCACGGGAGCUUGCUCCUGGUGGCGAGUGGCGAACGGGUGAGUAAUGCAUCGGAACGUAUCCUGGAGUGGGGGAUAACGUAGCGAAAGUUACGCUAAUACCGCAUAUUCUGUGAGCAGGAAAGCGGUGGACCUUCGGGCCUCGCGCUCUUGGAGCGGCCGAUGUCGGAUUAGCUAGUUGGUGAGGUAAAGGCUCACCAAGGCGACGAUCCGUAGCAGGUCUGAGAGGAUGAUCUGCCACACUGGAACUGAGACACGGUCCAGACUCCUACGGGAGGCAGCAGUGGGGAAUUUUGGACAAUGGGGGCAACCCUGAUCCAGCCAUGCCGCGUGAGUGAAGAAGGCC